rnacentral:rRNA from 1 species
AUUGAACGCUGGCGGCAUGCCUUACACAUGCAAGUCGAACGGCAGCACGGGAGCAAUCCUGGUGGCGAGUGGCGAACGGGUGAGUAAUAUAUCGGAACGUGCCCAGUCGUGGGGGAUAACGUAGCGAAAGCUACGCUAAUACCGCAUACGAUCUAUGGAUGAAAGCGGGGGAUCGCAAGACCUCGCGCGAUUGGAGCGGCCGAUAUCAGAUUAGGUAGUUGGUGAGGUAAAGGCUCACCAAGCCGACGAUCUGUAGCUGGUCUGAGAGGACGACCAGCCACACUGGGACUGAGACACGGCCCAGACUCCUACGGGAGGCAGCAGUGGGGAAUUUUGGACAAUGGGCGCAAGCCUGAUCCAGCAAUGCCGCGUGCAGGAUGAAGGCCUUCGGGUUGUAAACUGCUUUUGUACGGAACGAAACGGUGAGCUCUAAUACAGUUUGCUAAUGACGGUACCGUAAGAAUAAGCACCGGCUAACUACGUGCCAGCCGCCGCCGUAAAAC